GCCUCGGUAGCUCAGCCUGGUAGAGCGCCGGCUUGGUAAGCCGGAAGUCGCGGGUUCAAAUCCCGCCCGAGGCU
rnacentral:tRNA from 1 species